rnacentral:rRNA from 1 species
CACCCAGACUCCUACGGGAGGCAGCAGUGGGGAAUAUUGCACAAUGGGGGAAACCCUGAUGCAGCGACGCCGCGUGAGUGAAGAAGUAUUUCGGUAUGUAAAGCUCUAUCAGCAGGGAAGAUAAUGACGGUACCUGACUAAGAAGCCCCGGCUAACUACGUGCCAGCAGCCGCGGGAAUACGUAGGGGGCAAGCGUUAUCCGGAUUUACUGGGUGUAAAGGGUGCGUAGGUGGCAGGGCAAGUCAGAUGUGAAAGCCCGGGGCCCAACCCCGGUACUGCAUUUGAAACUGUCCGGCUGGAGUGCAGGAGAGGUAAGCGGAAUUCCUAGUGUAGCGGUGAAAUGCGUAGAUAUUAGGAGGAACACCAGUGGCGAAGGCGGCUUACUGGACUGUAACUGACACUGAGGCACGAAAGCGUGGGGAGCAAACAGGAUUAGAUACCCGCGUA